rnacentral:rRNA from 1 species
AUGUUUCAGCACAAGUGUCAGGUGGAAGAAACGGACGAGUCCUUGGGCCUGUUUAGUGAGGUGCAAGACCACGGCCGGUGUCUCACCGAGGACUCGUCGCCUCUGUUGUCCGACGUGAAGCUCGACGACCAGAUUUUGCAUGAUGCGGCCACGGCCGACAACGGCGGUGUCCAACAAGCCGGGUUAUUGCGCACACAUGGUGCUCGACAUCCGGUCUGUAACUUCUUCCAAGGCAGGAAUCGCCACCGUCAACGAGGUCGUGAACUGCGCAGUGUCCGAACCAUACGCCGCAUCGGCCUCUUCAAGCAUGCCAUGUCAAGCAAUGCUCGGCGCACUGACCUUUGCCGUAUGUACGGAAUAUCCGUCAUGUCAAAUAACAUCACCGAUUUUUGCGCGACAACUGGAGGCGUCGAUCAAGGGGAGCACCAAUAUGGCGAGGAGAACGAUAAGAGCAACGCGGUAAAUGACAAGGCCAUCAAGAAUGAUGAGGUGGAUAGCGAUGCUGAGACCAUCGAUUAA